CUAUCUUUCUAUUUCUCCCACAUUCCGACCACCUCUCACAAUGGAGAAUUUGAGCGCCGAUGAGUUGGCCCGUAGGGCAAUCCAAACAAGGGAGAGAAUGCUCUUUCUGAGGGACCUUGAGCGGCCAGAGAUGGAAGAACUACGGGAUGUUGGUACAAGGCUGCGUCAAGCAGUCAGCGCUGCCUCGACACUUAACCGCAUUCACGUUGCUCACACAAAAGAUGCGGAAAACCUAAGAGUCCUCUUACGGAAUGAUCGCAAUUGGACAGGCACUGCAGUCGUGUCUGCCUCUUCCGGUAACUUGGUUCAGUUAAUCAAUCACCUACGUGAGAGGUAUGGCACCCGCCUCAACGUUGAGUGCACGGGAGAUGAAUAAAAAGAGAUUCGGAAGGAAGAAGGGGAAAUUAACAAGGAAGACAUGUCUCCCCAAUUCAACCCAUACUCUUAUCUCUAUCUCCCUUAUCGUUUCAUCUUUGAUGUUUGAUGUUUGUUUGACCUAAAUUAGAUCUUGUAGGAGUAAUAUUUUCCUAGACUACUCCCACGUAUCCAUAUCACUUCUUAUUGUUUGGA